AGAAGUGGGAGGAGCCAACGACACUGGAAGAACCCAGGUGAUCUUAUAGUUGACUGAAGGGAGCAAGGACGGUGCAUUUGUCUGCGGUCUGGCUUGUGUUUGUGUCGUUCCGCAGUGGCUUUUGUCUUUGGCAUUGUUUUUGCGGCUUAAAGAAGGGAAAAAUGAAAUUAACUUUCAUUCUUCUCGUGGCGGUAUUCGCUACCUCCUACGCCCAGGAUUUGUCGGCAUUGCAGGCGCUGUUCCAACAAACAGUCGGGGGGCAGUCGGGAGGAGGCGGGUCGUCGGCGGGGAAACCGAACAGACCGAAUAGACCGAACAGACCGAACAGGCCCUCUGGAGGUGGAUUUGGUCAGCAGGGAGGCGGAUUUGGACAAGGGGGUGGAUUUGGUCAGCAGGGAGGCGGAUUUGGUCAGCAGGGAGGUGGAUUUGGUCAACAAGGAGGCAGUUUUGGCCAAGGUGGAUUUGGUCAAGGACAAGGAAGCCAGGACUGCAAAUUGUUCUGCAGGAGAGGAAAUGGCUACGUGUGCUGCUAAAAAAAAAAGUUGCACAUCACCUGAUACUGCUGAUUUCAAUAAAUUUCAGCUUGUCAGAUAAAUUAACAUGUGGAUAAACCUUUUGAUGGUGUAAUCUUAAAAUCUUUAUAGAAAUGCUAACGUUUAUGUGAUGUGUUUACGUUUUAAAGGAUAACAACAUAAUUGUUCUUAAUCAUUUAUUGACUGUAUCAAAAAAAAAAAAAAAAAAAAAAUAUAUAUAUAUAUAUGGCAGUGAGGUUACUAAA